GAUGAACGCUGGCGGCGUGCCUAAUACAUGCAAGUCGAGCGAACAGAUGAGGAGCUUGCUCCUCUGACGUUAGCGGCGGACGGGUGAGUAACACGUGGAUAACCUACCUAUAAGACUGGGAUAACUUCGGGAAACCGGAGCUAAUACCGGAUAAUAUAUUGAACCGCAUGGUUCAAUAGUGAAAGACGGUUUUGCUGUCACUUAUAGAUGGAUCCGCGCCGCAUUAGCUAGUUGGUAAGGUAACGGCUUACCAAGGCAACGAUGCGUAGCCGACCUGAGUGGGUGAUCGGCCACACUGGAACUGAGACACGGUCCAGACUCCUACGGGAGGCAGCAGUAGGGAAUCUUCCGCAAUGGGCGAAAGCCUGACGGAGCAACGCCGCGUGAGUGAUGAAGGUCUUCGGAUCGUAAAACUCUGUUAUUAGGGAAGAACAAAUGUGUAAGUAACUAUGCACGUCUUGACGGUACCUAAUCAGAAAGCCACGGCUAACUACGU
rnacentral:rRNA from 1 species